UGGGGAAUAUUGCACAAUGGGCGAAAGCCUGAUGCAGCAACGCCGCGUGAGUGAUGAAGGCCUUCGGGUUGUAAAGCUCUGUCUUUUGGGACGAUAAUGACGGUACCAAAGGAGGAAGCCACGGCUAACUACGUACCAGCAGCCGCGGUAAUACGUAGGUGGCAAGCGUUGUCCGGAUUUACUGGGCGUAAAGGAUGCGUAGGCGGAUUUUUAAGUGAGAUGUGAAAUACCCGGGCUUAACUUGGGUGCUGCAUUUCAAACUGGGAAUCUAGAGUGCGGGAGAGGAGAAUGGAAUUCCUAGUGUAGCGGUGAAAUGCGUAGAGAUUAGGAAGAACACCAGUGGCGAAGGCGAUUCUCUGGACCGUAACUGACGCUGAGGCAUGAAAGCGUGGGUAGCAAACAGGAUUAGAUACCCUGGUAGUCCACGCCGUAAACGAUGAGUACUAGGUGUAGGAGGUAUCGACCCCUUCUGUGCCGCAGUUAACACAAUAAGUACUCCGCCUGGGAAGUACGAUCGCAAGA
rnacentral:rRNA from 1 species